rnacentral:ncRNA from 1 species
UUGAUCCUUCAGGGCAGGGUGUAAUUCCCUACCGGCGGUGAUGAUACUGCUUAUAGACUACGAGUAUAGUCUGCAGUACUUAGUCCGCUACCCGGCUGUUGUUAUUUAUAACGCAGACGGUGGACCCGGUGAAAUUCCGGGACCGACAGUAUAGUCUGGAUGGAAGAAGGAGAGA